AUGAGAAGUAUGGAGACAUUUAAUAAAAGGAGUGAGAUGCGUGUGCAUUGGGAUUUUGUACAUGUGGAAGGAGAAGAGAAAAAAGGUUUGAUGAGAGAGCUCAAAAGAACAUGGACUAGAGGGGAAUCUUGUGGGCUGAGGGAAUUUCUGGAUUCAGGGCUCUGCGGACCCCGGAAGGUUCAAACUCUUCAGCGUGUGCAAAUAUCUCAACCUCUCAAGCCUCAAGCUCAUCGCCGUAUAGCCUAUCCUUGCUGGAUACGCACUCAAACGGGGAAGAAGAUGGACAUGAUAGUUUACCCAGGUUCGGGCCACCUUCCAGUGUAA
rnacentral:rRNA from 1 species